rnacentral:sRNA from 1 species
UCGACUGCUCCGUGCAUCGAUCGACAGACAGCCGGUCAUCUGUUUCUCAGAUCCGCACAGUGCCGACCCUCCGUCACACCCCUGCCUCCCGCGCCCCUCUGCCUGGCACCGCUGUGAAUCCUUGCGUGUACGCGUUCAUCUGGCU